GAUGAACGCUGGCGGCGUGCCUAAUACAUGCAAGUCGAACGCAUUGUGGUUGAAAUGAUAUGAAGAACUUGUUCAGAUUUGAUUUUCAACAUUGCAAUGAGUGGCGAACGGGUGAGUAACACGUGGGAAACCUACCUCUUAGCAGGGGAUAACAUUUAGAAACAAAUGCUAAUACCGUAUAAUAUUAAAACCGCAUGGUUUUAGUUUAAAAGAUGGUCUUGCUAUCACUAAGAGAUGGUCCCGCGGUGUAUUAGUAGUUGGUGAGGUAAUGGCUCACCAAGACAAUGAUACAUAGCCGAGUUGAGAGACUGACCGGCCACAAUGGGACUGAGACACGGCCCAUACUCCUACGGGAGGCAGCAGUAGGG
rnacentral:rRNA from 1 species